AUAACCCUCACUGGUCGUAGCUGGCAGCAUGCAUGAUAGGCGGAGCUAUCUCCCGUGCAUCCGGCGCUACAAUAACGUAUGCCCGCUCUUUAAUACUACAUUGGCGCUAAUAAGUUUUAUUCCCGAUUUCGGUGACGCCGCUGUGCUGAGCAUUGGCACGGCCCCAGGAACAUCCACCCAGUGCUUUGCGGGGACAGGAGCAGCAAAAGACAAGGUCAAACCUUUCCUCUUGACAACCACCACGCCAAAAAAAGAUUAAGCAUUUUCCUGGGCUACAUGUUUCUGCAAUCCAGAAGAAAUGGCAGUGUUACAGGAAGGCAUGGCCAUACCCUCCCCUUGGUUCAGCUGCCCCUGCCCUCUGCCCUGUGCUGGCAUCAGUCUCUGCACGGACUGUCUCGUGAGCAAGAGCUGAAGACCGAUCCCCCAGAAAAUGAAUUCAACAGGAAGAAAGGGAAACUAUUUUUCAGCUGGCUCAGCUUCCUGGUCUUGCUCUUUACCCAACAGCACAAAUCCGUGCCUGGGAGGGAUGACAACGAGCACCUGAUAGGGGGAGGGGGCACCCCCUUCUCCUAGCUCCGACCUGGGCAGACACAAGACCGAGUGGCCAGGUAACCUUUACCUCACUGCAAUUACGGAGCCAGCUUCCCACCUCCACUGCCUCUUGGUGUCUGCAGUACACAGGCUAAUGUCCAAUGCUCCCCUUUUUGAAUCCUUGACCACCUUCUCCUGUAUUUUUCUCCACUUGCUCCACACGUUGAAGCAUAAGGACCUCUUCCAAAAUAAAGAUGCAUUUUUUUCUUCCAUGGGACGCUCCCGGGCUGUCAGCUGAAAGCAAGGGAGAGGAUGCAGUGUCCAAAUACACCACAUCCUCAUUCUCUGCAAGACUGCUCCAAGUUUUGAUGCUGUUCCAUGCUGUCACAGCAAGCAGCCAGAGGAGCAUGGGGAAGGGGAGCCAGGCAGCUCUGCCAGGAACCACCGCAGCAGGCAGAGGAGUCAGGGAGACUGCUCGGGAGUUACACGGGUGAAUGCUGACAGCCCUCAGUCUCAGCUGUGGCUCACCAGGGAGCUGAGUCUCCACGCACAGAGCCAAACCCCACUGCUGCCCCAACACCUCCACUGCUGCCCCACAGAGGCCCUGAGCUGAGCAGGAAUGCAGGGCUGUGGGGGACAACGUCGAGCGUGUAAUAGGUGUCGCUUGAUCUCAAAAUUGCUCUGGGAAUUUUUGUAAACAAAGAUACAUAAAUCCUACUUCCUCCAAAGAGGGAAAAUGAAAUUACACAAUUACUAUAUGCAAGGCUGUUUAUAAUUGACUAUAUGCUUAACCUCUCUUCCUAUUUUCAGUAUGUCUGAACAUCCCGUUUCCAUCCUGCCAGCUAGGGACCAAGGGACCUUUACACCAGCCAGUCAUUAGGUGACAGACAACAGAAACUGAUCCACGGAAAGGCAGGACAGUGCUGCAGGUUAUUACAGCAAGACGUGCUGCUCAGUUCAGACAGGACAAGUGUCCCAUCUCUCCACUUUCACAGAACAGGAAAAUAGAAACAGUUAACCUGGGGCAGAUGGAAGAAGGAUUUACAUAAUUUUAAAUGAACAGACAAAAUACAAAUGCAGCCAUCUAGAAAUACAGGACUGCACUGUUUGAGUUCAGUGGUCAUGCCAAGCACCCUCUGCUCUUUUAUCCCACUGAGGCCAAGGAUCUGACCAAGGGAGCUUGGAAGGAGCUCGUCCAGCUGGAGCUGCCCAGGGCUGACAGUCUGAAAGUACCACCAGAGAGGGACUUGCCUUCUCAGUUUAGUAACUUUGGAUGAGUUUGAUAUUAUUGACAGGAGAGGGACAAAACCAGACUAUUUCUUUCUCUUUUCAGAUCUUGGAAAGCCCUUGGCUCUUUGUCCCAUCCACCAGCAAGUAUUUUCAUUUCUGAAGAUACUAAGAACCUUUUUAAAGACAUUAUUUUAUUAGGAUUGGUUUACACAAAAUGCUUUGGUGAAAAACCUUUUCCUCACCCCAGGACAAAUGUCUUUGCCCAUGUCACCUCAUGGAUUUCCCUAACCUCUUCAUAAAGCUUAGCAGUGAGUAUAGAGCCUUUCCUCUUCCCUUAAAGCCCUGGAUUACACGCCUCACAGCCACUACUUGUAGUCUAACUCUGCAAAGCUCUUUGGGACAGAAUUUAGAUAAGCAGUAGUCUAAAACCAAGAUCUUAACCCUGCUGCGUGCAGCACAGCCUUCACCCUGAGCCCACACAAGGACCAGUUCCUCUCCACUGCAAAAGCAAACAAUUCCCUGCUAAAGUGUUUAGUUUUCUUUGUAUCAGUUCACAUUUUAAACUAACACAUCUGAAGACUAUCCAGUGGUUUAUGAAGUAGAAGAGCCUCUUGUAUCACAGCCGCCUCCUCUCUGGGGAGGUGGGAAGAAAGUUGCCUGAGCCUCAUCCGUUGCAGAAAUAAUCCUGCUCAGGAGCAUGAAGUCAAAACAGUCUUAAAAACAACGGCCCCUCAAAAAUCAGGGAUUUCAAUUAUAAUGACACUUAAUUAUAAUGACACUUUACUGAAAGCACAAACCUGGGAGCGCAGAAAAUAAAUUAAAAAAUAUCAUAAUUGAAAUACUGCUCUGAACUCCUCUAAUAUUUUCAUUCUAUUAAAUUCAUAAAGUAUAAUACCGUUUAAGUCCUAACACACUAAAAAAUAUUUUUUCAAUCAAAUGACCAGUCUAUCAGGGAUAAAUCUUAUGCAAGUUUCAGACAAGAAGUAGAGAGGAUCUCUGUACCUCCUCAGGUGGGAACCUGAGUACAAAAUCAGCCCUAGAGAAUCUCUGGCCAGAGCCACUCACGCAUCCUCAGAGCCUGGUGCUGUUCUUUCAUCAAGCCAAGACAGGCUAGAUCUGACUUCCACCUGGUUUUGUUACCUUGUGACUGCCUCAACCGGACCGAUGUCCCAUGCUGUGGUUGCCACUAUGUGGCUGCAAAUGGUAUUCCUGGGAGGAAUACAGAGAAACUGUCCAAGCAGCCAGGGAUCAGGUUAGAAAAGCCAAAGCCCUGAUAGAAUUAAAUCUGGCCAGGGAUGUUAAGGACAAGACGAAAAGUUCCUAUAGGUACAUCAGUGAUAAAAGGAAGACAAGGGAAAAUGUGGGUCCCCUCCGGAAUGAAACAGGAGACCUGGUCACCCAGGACAUGGAGAAGGCUGAAGUACUCAGUGAAUGUUUUCCCUCAGUCUUUGCUGGCAAGUGCUCAAGCGACACCGCCCAGGUCGAAGACAAGGACUGGGAGAAUGAAGAACUGCCCGCUGUAGGAGAAGAUCAGGUUUGAGACCAUCUAAGGAACCUGAAGGUGCACAAGUCCAUGGGACCUGACGAGAUGCAUCUGUGGGUCCUGAGAGAACUGGCGGAUGAAGUGGCUAAGCCACUCUCCAUCAUAUUUGAGAAGUCGUGGCAGUCCGGUGAAGUUCCCACUGACUGGAAAAGGGGAAACAUAACCCCCAUUUUUAAAAAAGGGAAAAAGGAAGACUUGGGGAACUACAGGACGGUCAAUCUCACCUUUGUGCCUGGCAAGAUUAUGGAACAGACCCUCCUGGAAACUAUGCUCCAGCACAUGGAAAAUAAGGAGGUGAUUGGUGAAAGCCAGCAUGGCUUCACUAAGGGCAAAUUGUGCCUAACAAAUUCGGUGGCCUUCCAUGAUGGGGUUACAGCAUUGGUGGACAAGGGAAGAGCAACAGACAUCAUCUACCUGGACUUGUGCAAGGCAUUUGACGCUGUCCUGCAUGACAUCCUUGUCUCUAAAUUGGAGAGACAUGGAUUUGAGGGAUGGACCACUCAGUGGAUAAGGAAUUGGCUGGACGGUUGCAGUCUAAGAAUUGCGGUCAACAGCUCAGUGUCCAAGUGGAGAUCAGUGACGAGUGGCGUUCCUCAGGGGUGGGUACUGGGACCAGCACUCUUUAGCAUCUUUGUUGGUGACAUGGACAGCGGGAUCAAGCAAGUUUGCCAAUGACACCAAGCUGCGUGGUGUGGUUGACACACUGGAGGGAAGGAAUGCCACCCAGAGGGACCUUGACAGGCUGGAGAAGUGGGCCCGUGCAAACCGCAUGAAGUUCAACAAGGCCAAGUGCAAGGUCCUGCAUGUGCGUCGGUGCAAUCCCAAGCACAACUACAGGCUGGGUGGAGAAUGGAUUGAAAGCAGCCCUGAGGAGAAGGACUUGGGGGUGCUGAUGGAUCGAAAGCUCAACAUGAGCCGACAGUGUGCGCUUGCAGCCCAGAAAGCCAACCAUGUCCUGGGCUGUAUCCCCAGCAGCGUGACCAGCAGGUCGAGGGAGGGGAUUCUGCCCCUCUACUCUGCUCUGGUGAGAUCCUCCUGCACUACUGCAUCCAGCUCGGGGGUCUCCAGGACAAGGAGGACAUGGAGCUGUUGGAGCAAGUCCAGAGGAGGCCACAGAGAUGAUCCGAGGGCUGGAGCACCUCUGAUAUGGAGGCAAGCUGAGAGAGUUGGGGUUGUUCAGCCCGGAGAAGGCUCUGGGAAGACCUAAUUGUGGCCUUCCAGUCCUUAAAGGGGCUACAGGAAAGCUGGAGAGGGGCUGUUUAUCAGGGAGUGUAGUGAUAGAACAAGGGGUAAUGGGUUUAAAAUAAAAGAGGGGAGAUUUACAUUAGAUGUUACGAAGAAAUUCUUCCCUGUGAGGGUGGUGAGGCCCUGGCACAGGUUGCCCAGAGAAGCUGUGGCUGCCCCUGGCUCCCUGGCAGUGUUCAAGGCCAGGUUGGAUGGGGCUUUGGGCAACCUGGGCUAGUGGAGGGUGUCCCUGCCCAUGGCAGGGGGUUGGAACUAGAUGAUCUUUGAGGUCCCUUCCAACCCAAGCCAUUCCAUGAUUCUGUGAUUCUAUGAAUAGAUGUAAAAAACUACUUCUGCAACUUCCCAUCCAUGACCACAUCCUUUAAAUUUUCUUCCUGUAACAGCUCCUUUUGUCUCCAGUAAGUUAAACCCCUUCCUCUACAAAAUAUAAACUUC